GCCAGUGUAGUGUAGUGGUUUGAGCCUCGGAUUAUGAUUCUGAAGACUAGGGUUCAAAUCUCUGCUCAGCCA